rnacentral:rRNA from 1 species
GACGAAUGCUGGCGGCGUGCCUAAUACAUGCAAGUUGAGCGAUGAAGAUUGGUGCUUGCACCAAUUUGAAGAGCAGCGAACGGGUGAGUAACGCGUGGGGAAUCUGCCUUUGAGCGGGGGACAACAUUUGGAAACGAAUGCUAAUACCGCAUAACAACUUUAAACAUAAGUUUUAAGUUUGAAAGAUGCAAUUGCAUCACUCAAAGAUGAUCCCGCGUUGUAUUAGCUAGUUGGUGAGGUAAAGGCUCACCAAGGCGAUGAUACAUAGCCGACCUGGGAGGGUGAUCGGACACAUUGGGACGGAGACACGGCCCAAACUCCUACGGGAGGCAGCAGUGGGGAAUCUUCGGCAAUGGACGAAAGUCUGACCGAGCGACGCCGCGUGAGUGAAGAAGGUUUUCGGAUCGUAAAACUCUGUUGGUAGAGAAGAACGUUGGUGAGAGUGGAAAGCUCAUCAAGUGACGGUAACUACCCAGAAAGGGACGGCUAACUACGUGCCAGCCGCCGCCGUAA